rnacentral:lncRNA from 1 species
AUAAUUAAUCAUUUCAAUGUAUAGAUAACACUCUAUUGAAUGGAUGUACCUUGUUUUACCACUUCCUUCUUGUUGGAUAUUAAGGUUGUUUCUAUAAUAUUGUUAAGAUAACGCUACAGCAUAUAACUUCACACAAAACCUCUUUCCCUUUCUCUUGGAUUCUUUCUUUAGUCAUCAACUUAAAAAAGCAGAAUUAGGCCAGGCAGGGUGGCUCACACCUGUAAUUUCAGCACUUUGGGAGGCUGGUCAGGAGUUCAAGACCAGCCUGACCAACAUGAUGAAACCCUGUCUCUACUAAAAAUACAAAAAUUAGCUGGGUGUGGUGGUGUGUGCCUGUAAUCUCAGCUACUUGGCAGGCUGAGGCAGGAAAACUGCUUGGACCGGGAGGCAGAGACUGCAGUGAGCUGAGAUUACCACACUGCACUCCAGCCUGGGUGACAAGAGUGAAACUGUCUCAAAAAUAAUAAUAAAUAAAAAGCAAAAUUAUAUUUAUAAUUGCUAACUUGAUUAUUUUAUUCUCAUAAAACAUUAGCUCCUUGGUGUAGAAGGCCUUCAAAGAAUAAAGAUGUAGCAUUUGGAGGAGGUUACGAAGCAUAGCAACUGAGAGUGGAUGGAGUCUUCUCCAUAAGAGAACCAUUUAUUUUCUCAAAAAACAUUAACUUAGUAUUUUGCAUGUUACAGGUGCUCUAUUAGGCCCUGAGGGUAGAACAGUGACCAAAAAGACACAGUUCUUGUCCUCUUAGAGUUUGAAUCUAGUAUGGGAGUCAUUUUAAUCAAAUAAUUGGACAAAUAAAUAAUAAAUCACACUUCUAUUAAUAGCCACAACAAUAAGAGGUGCAUGUGCCAUGAAAGUUUAACUAUGGGAGUGACCAAGGGAAGAGGCUAGAGGGAGUAAUAUUUGAAAUGAGUUUUCAAGGAUGAGCAGGAGUUAAAGUAGGGUGCUAGGUGUUUUCUAGGCAGUGGGGAGAGCAUCUGAGCUAGCCCUGUGGUAGGAGGGGAAAGGCUCAUUGCAGACAAGAAAACCAUGCUAUGGUAGGUGGGGCACAGACAUUGAGGCAUCUUUUUUCUAUGACAGGAAAGAACAUUGCUCUAGAAUAUUUACUCUAAAUGUGUAUGGGAGAAUUGAAUCAAUGUCUUUAUUGUUUUUACUCUGCGAACUUCUCAGCUACUAUAAAAACUGGUUCUAAUAAAAAGGCCUUCAAAGUUGCUUUGUGGGCUAUUUAUGCUUAUUAGAAUAUUCCAUUUAUAAUAAGAAAAAGCUGCCAUAUUAUUAUAUAGCUCUUUUUUAAAAGGAAAUUCACAUCUGUAACUUUAUGUCAGUAAAAGACAUUUCAUUGUCAAGAUGAUCUCUGAGUGAAUAUAAACAUUCUGGUUGACAUUAAAGUUGGCCAAUUCUCUGUGGAGACUAUAUAUUGCAUACGAAAGGAAGUCAAAUUGCGUAAGCAUCUCUUAUUCUCAGAGUUCUCCAAUCUAAUAACUUCUUCACUGGGAUAUCAACUUUCUAAAUGUCAGGACAAAUUACAGCUAUUUAUGACAGUCUUUCUUGAGCUGUUAAAGACUCAAAAUGCCUGCCCUUACCCUCUGGCAUGGAGAUAGUGAUGAGUGGAGUUUGCAGUGCUUUGGGUCCAUAUAGAUGCUCACAUGUGAUAAAUGGGUGUGUUACGGCCACCUCACAUUUAUAUAGCACUUUAAAUUUUCUAAAGCAUCUUCAUGUUUACUUACUGUAUUAAAUGUCCAGUUUUAGAACCGGAAUGGACUUUAAGGGUCAUUUCAUUUAAAUGGGGUUUUUAAUGAAAAAAGCAUGUGUGUCAUGUAAUCUAAGACUAUUUUCUAACUGCGACUUGUGAGUUAGUUGGUUACAAAAUCAGUUUAGGGGAUUGUGACUAGGAUUUCAAAAGUAUAAUAUAUUGAAAUGCAGUAUGAAUAAUGUUUUCUGAAACUUUUGUUUCAGUAGCAUUUAUGUUUGUAAGCAUAAGCAUGUGUUUAUUUGGUCAUGCUUGAAAUUUAAAUACCAUGAUAAAGUGAAUAAGUAGUGGUAUUACUGGUUUUUAAAAAGCAAUGGGUUUGCGAGCUGUGUUCAAACUGUAGCCUUGUAACCCACUAGCUAAGUGACUGUUGGAAAGUCAAAUAAAUUCUCUGCAACACAGUCUCCUCAUUCUAAUACCAAUUGUGUCAAUCUGGCUCAAGUUAUAACAGAGGGCAUAUAUGAAAAAGGUUCCCAGAAGAUGUUUAAUCGAUAUUAAUAGUUUUUGAAAUCCAACACAUAUUCACUUAUAAACUGAGAGACUUACAAAUGAAUGGCCAGGUAUUAUUGACUUAAUUUUACAAAUGAAGAAACGGAAGCCAAUGGGGGCAAAUGGCUAAUUCAAGACCACUUAACAAGAAUGAAUCACAAUCAAAUCCAGCUUUCCUGGCUCUUGGUCUUUCGUACUUACCUCCAUUCUUGUCCCUUACCUUUGGAAUUUCUUUUCCUGCCUCAGGUUCUUUAUUCCUUUUUAUAUUAAGCAGAAAAUAAAUAACAACCCUCUUGUGUUUUAUUAACCUAAACCUCUGACCUCAGAGUACCAUGCUUACGUAUUACAGAGGACGUCGCUAACCAUAAACUAUUGACUUACAUCAACAGAGCAUGCAAUAUUGAAGAAAGAAACAAUGGGAUGUCAGAAACUUUUAUUUGCAGUAUUUUUAAUUUCAGUGAUUAACUGUGAUUUUUAAAUAAGACAUUUAAUCUUUCUGUGUCUUACCAGAAAAGUUGGAUUGAACUAGGCUAUAGCUGAGAACUUUUUUGCUCAAAAUAUUUUGAGAAUAUAAGUAUUCAUUACUUACCAGAAGCGAUUAUUAAUGGUGAAAUGCAUAAGGUGAUCAGUAGUUCUUGUUUACUAAGCCACUCUAUACAUUGUUCUAGAGGCUUUCUAUUAAAAUAUUUCAGUCUCAGGUUUGUAGAGACCUCCCAUGGGAAUUAAUGUAUUCAUUUGCAUUUAUAUGUUUGUUAAUUUCAAGAG